UACGUAGGGUGCGAGCGUUGUCCGGAAUUAUUGGGCGUAAAGAGCUCGUAGGCGGUCUGUCGCGUCGGUCGUGAAAACUUGGGGCUUAAACCCUGAGCUUGCGGUCGAUACGGGCAUGACUGGAGUUCGGCAGGGGAGACUGGAAUUCCUGGUGUAGCGGUGAAAUGCGCAGAUAUCAGGAGGAACACCGGUGGCGAAGGCGGGUCUCUGGGCCGAUACUGACGCUGAGGAGCGAAAGCGUGGGGAGCGAACAGG
rnacentral:rRNA from 1 species